UCCAAGUCGAACGGUAAGCACGAAAGGAAGCUUGCUCCUUGGCUGACGAGUGGCGGACGGGUGAGUGAAUGUCUGGGAAUCUGCCCUGUGGAGGGGGAUAACUUCUGGAAACUUACGCUAAUACCGCAUACCAUCUACGGAUGAAAGAGGGGGAUCUUCGGACCUCGCGCCAUUGAAUGAGCCCAUAUCGGAUUAGCUUGUUGGUGGGGUAAAGGCCCACCAAGGCGACGAUCCCUAGCUGGUCUGAGAGGAUGAUCAGCCACACUGGAACUGAGACACGGUCCAGACUCCUACGGGAGGCAGCAGUGGGGAAUAUUGCACAAUGGGCGCAAGCCUGAUGCAGCCAUACCGCGUGGGUGAAGAAGGCCUUCGGGUUGUAAAGCCCUUUUGUUGGGAAAGAAAGCAGUCUGGUUAAUACCUUUGUGCGAUGACGUUACCCGCAGAAUAAGCACCGGCUAACUCCGUGCCAGCAGCCGCGGUAAUACGAAGGGUGCAAGCGUUACUCGGAAUUACUGGGCGUAAAGCGCGCGCAGGUGGUCGGUUAAGUCCGAUGUGAAAUCCCUGGGCUCAACCUGCGAACUGCAUCUGAGUACUGGCCGACUAGAGUCUCGUAGAGGGUGGCAGAAUUCCUGGUGUAGCAGUGAAAUGCGUACAGAUCU
rnacentral:rRNA from 1 species